GUGGGGAAUAUUGCACAAUGGGCGCAAGCCUGAUGCAGCGACGCCGCGUGGGGGAUGACGGCCUUCGGGUUGUAAACUCCUUUCGACAGGGACGAAGCUUAUGUGACGGUACCUGUAGAAGAAGCACCGGCUAACUACGUGCCAGCAGCCGCGGUAAUACGUAGGGUGCGAGCGUUGUCCGGAAUUACUGGGCGUAAAGAGCUCGUAGGUGGUUUGUCGCGUCGUCUGUGAAAUCCCGGGGCUUAACCUCGGGCGUGCAGGCGAUACGGGCAUAACUUGAGUGCUGUAGGGGAGACUGGAAUUCCUGGUGUAGCGGUGAAAUGCGCAGAUAUCAGGAGGAACACCAAUGGCGAAGGCAGGUCUCUGGGCAGUAACUGACGCUGAGGAGCGAAAGCAUGGGUAGCGAACAGGAUUAGAAACCCCAGUAGUCC
rnacentral:rRNA from 1 species